rnacentral:rRNA from 1 species
GAUGAACGCUGGCGGCGUGCCUAAUACAUGCAAGUCGAGCGAACAGACGAGGAGCUUGCUCCUCUGACGUUAGCGGCGGACGGGUGAGUAACACGUGGAUAACCUACCUAUAAGACUGGGAUAACUUCGGGAAACCGGAGCUAAUACCGGAUAAUAUAUUGAAACGCAUGGUUCAAUAGUGAAAGACGGUUUUGCUGUCACUUAUAGAUGGAUCCGCGCCGCAUUAGCUAGUUGGUAAGGUAACGGCUUACCAAGGCAACGAUGCGUAGCCGACCUGAGAGGUGAUUCGGCAACACGGAACCUGAGACCCGGCCCAACCCCCCACGGGGGGCAGGAGGAGGAAUUUUUCCGCAUGGGGGGAAGCCCUAACGGGCCAACCCCGCGGGGGUAAGAAGGUUCUUCGGAUUUAAAACCUCUUUUAUUGGGAAAAAACAAAGUUAUAAAUAACCUUGCCCGUUUGAAGGGACCCAAAACAGAAGCCCCCGCCAACCUCCUG